rnacentral:lncRNA from 1 species
CUGACCCUUCGCAUAUGAGUUUACUCCUUUCUGAUGCCAGGGCUUUGCAAGCCCCCUCUCAUCACAAAUGUCCAUUUAAAUUGACCUUCUUCAACCAGCUUUUCAAACAGGUCACCUUGUGAGGCUCACAACCUCUGAUAGUAUGACCUUCCAGCUCGUCCAACUCCAGCUUCAGCUCCUCUUCAAGAAUCACCUGACUUGGGAAACGAAACUGUGGAGUUGUCAGAAGCAGAAGCAUUGCAGGUGUCCAGAUCUAGGAAAACUGCUACAUCCAUACUUGGAUCAUAAUAACAAAGAUGCUGG